rnacentral:rRNA from 1 species
UACAGAGGGGGCGAGCGUUGUUCGGAAUUACUGGGCGUAAAGGGCGCGUAGGCGGCCCGCUAAGUCAGACGUGAAAUCCCUCGGCUCAACCGGGGAACUGCGUCUGAUACUGGUGGGCUCGAAUCCGGGAGAGGGAUGUGGAAUUCCAGGUGUAGCGGUGAAAUGCGUAGAUAUCUGGAGGAACACCGGUGGCGAAGGCGGCAUCCUGGACCGGUAUUGACGCUGAGGCGCGAAAGCCAGGGGAGCAAACGGG